GAUGAACGCUGGCGGCGUGCCUAACACAUGCAAGUCGAGCGAUUCUCUUCGGAGAAGAGCGGCGGACGGGUGAGUAACGCGUGGGUAACCUGCCCUGUACACACGGAUAACAUACCGAAAGGUAUGCUAAUACGAGAUAAUAUGCUUUUAUCGCAUGGUAGAAGUAUCAAAGCUCCGGCGGUACAGGAUGGACCCGCGUCUGAUUAGCUAGUUGGUAAGGUAACGGCUUACCAAGGCUACGAUCAGUAGCCGACCUGAGAGGGUGAUCGGCCACAUUGGAACUGAGACACGGUCCAAACUCCUACGGGAGGCAGCAGUGGGGAAUAUUGCACAAUGGGCGAAAGCCUGAUGCAGCAACGCCGCGUGAGCGAUGAAGG
rnacentral:rRNA from 1 species